rnacentral:rRNA from 1 species
CCUACGGGAGGCAGCAGUGAGGAAUAUUGGUCAAUGGGCGCGAGCCUGAACCAGCCAAGUAGCGUGAAGGAUGACUGCCCUACGGGUUGUAAACUUCUUUUAUAAAGGAAUAAAGUGAGGCACGUUUGCCUUUUUGUAUGUACUUUAUGAAUAAGGAUCGGCUAACUCCGUGCAAGCAGCCGCGGUAAUACGGAGGUUCCGAGCGUUAUCCGGAUUUAUUGGGUGUAAAGGGAGCGUAGAUGGGUUGUUAAGUCAGAUGUGAAAGUUUGCGGCUCAACCGUAUAAAUGCAAUUGAUACUGGCAGCCGUGAGUACAGUUGAGGUAGGUGGAAUUCGUGGUGUAGCGGUGAAAUGCUUAGAUAUCACGAAGAACACCGAUUGCGAAGGCAGCCUACUAAACUGCCACUGACAUUGAGGCUCGAAAGUGUGGGUAGCAAACAGGAUUAGAUACCCUGGUAGUC